rnacentral:ncRNA from 1 species
GAAUGCCGGCUGACUCUGGUCAGCGACAUGCCAAACAGCCGCGAUCUGCAAGGCUGUGAUGCGGACACACCGCAUUGAUCAACCCCGCUCGCACCGCAUCCGAUCCAGCGAGCGACUACUGCUCAAGCGGUAGUGGAUGC